UACGAAGGGGGCUAGCGUUGUUCGGAAUUACUGGGCGUAAAGCGCGCGCAGGCGGUUCUUCAAGUCAGUGGUGAAAGCCCGGAGCUCAACUCCGGAACUGCCAUUGAAACUGUAGAACUUGAGGAUGAGAGAGGUGAGUGGAAUUCCCAGUGUAGAGGUGAAAUUCGUAGAUAUUCGCAAGAACACCAGUGGCGAAGGCGGCUCACUGGCCCGGUACUGACGCUGAGGUGCGAAAGCGUGGGGAGCAAACAGG
rnacentral:rRNA from 1 species